rnacentral:rRNA from 1 species
GGGUGCUAAACAUGCAAGUCUGAACGAGAAAGGGACUUCGGUCCUGAGUAUAGUGGCGCACGGGUGAGUAACACGUGACUAAUCUACCCUCGAGUGGGGAAUAACUGAGAGAAAUCUUAGCUAAUACCGCAUAACACUUACGAGUCAAAGCAGCAAUGCGCUUGGGGAGGAGGUCGCGGCCGAUUAGCUAGUUGGCGGGGUAAUGGCCCACCAAGGCGAUGAUCGGUAUCCGGCCUGAGAGGGCGCACGGACACACUGGAACUGAAACACGGUCCAGACUCCUACGGGAGGCAGCAGUGGGGAAUUUUGCGCAAUGGGGGAAACCCUGACGCAGCAACGCCGCGUGGAGGAUGAAGUAUCUCGGUACGUAAACUCCUUUCGAUGGGGAAGAUAAUGACGGUACCCAUAGAAGAAGCCCCGGCUAACUUCGUGCCAGCAGCCGCGGUAAUACGAGGGGGGCAAGCGUUGUUCGGAUUUAUUGGGCGUAAAGGGUGCGUAGGCGGUUUGGCAAGUCUCGUGUGAAAUCUAUGGGCUCAACCCAUAGUCUGCACGAGAAACUACCGGGCUUGAGUGAUGGAGAGGUGAGUGGGAAUUCCGGUGUACGGUGAAAUGCGUAGAUUCGGAAGGAACACCUGUGGGAAAGCGGUCACUGGGACAUUAACUGACGCUGAUGCACGGAAAGCCUAGGGGGAGCAACCAGGAUUAGAUACCCUG